rnacentral:rRNA from 1 species
UACGAAGGGUGCAAGCGUUAGUCGGAAUUACUGGGCGUAAAGCGUGCGUAGGUGGUUUCUUAAGUCGGAUGUGAAAGCCCCGGGCUCAACCUGGGAACCGCGCUUGAGACUGGAGAACUAGAGUUCGGGAGAGGAUGGUGGAAUUCCCAGUGUAGAGGUGAAAUUCGUAGAUAUUGGGAAGAACACCGAUGGCGAAGGCAGCCAUCUGGACCGACACUGACGCUGAGGCGCGAAAGCGUGGGGAGCAAACAGG